UUCUCCAAACCUUCAAAACUUCAAGCUCCCAACCAUGGCUGCCCUUCACCAGCCCCAUCGACGACCAACUCCUGCUCACCUCACGUCUUCAUCUUCUUCACUCUCUCAAACGACCCCUCCACCAUACCACCAUGAACGACCCCCUCCAGCUUCAUGUUCUUCGCAACGCACCCAGCAGCUCCUAGCAUCCAUCUUCGUCGUCGUCGAACCCAAAACAGUGGCGACCAAACCUGCCGCGCCACCUUAAGUUACUGCUGCCCCGACGCUGCUGUUCCAGCUUCGUCGAGGCUCAUCGCCAUGGCUGCCUUCCUCCGAGCUGCUACCUCACUUCGUCUUCUUCGAGCUUGAGCAUCACCAUGGCCAGUCUCCAUCGCUGCUUCUUCUGCCUUCAUCUUCUUCGCAAACGAACCCCCAGCUGCUUCUGUUUCAUCACUUCUGCCGCGUCAGCUGUUGCUGUUGCUUCGGCGUCAACUUCUUAGGUUCGUGUUCGUCGUCGUUUGGUCGAGAUUUGGUCGAGGAUCGUCGAAAUAGUCCGUACAUAUUUCAUUUCGAUCCGGUUAGUAGUUUUUGAGUUUUAUUUUGUCCGUAUUUUGUUUUGAUAUUUCUCGAAUCUAAAAUCGGCAAAUGUUUGUUUUGUUCAUGUCUAUCGUUCGAAUUAAUUUUUUUUUUUAGUUUGUUCAUGUGCUUUGUUGAAUUAAUUUUCAGAUUUCAAAUAGAAAUUUAAUUAGUUGUUUUUCAUGUUUAUUUCAUGUUUGUUUUAUUGUUUAGGUAAAAAUUUGUUAGUUUAAUGUUUGUUAGAUUCAAAUUGAAAUUUAAUUGAUUAUUUCUUCAAUUUGUUUCAUGUGUUUUAUGUAUUUUCAGAAAUUAUUAAUGUUGUUUGAAUCGUUUGAAUUCGUCAUGUUUGUUGUUUUAAAAAUAUAUUUAGUUCAUGUUCAUCUUUGUUUGAAGUUCAUUUUUAAUCCAGUAAUUUAAUUUGAGUGUUUUUGGUUUUCGAUUUGUUGAUUUAAUUUGAAUCAUGUAUUGUUUGUUUGUAUUGUUGUUUCUUUGCUCAUUCAUUUUUGGUCUAAGUUAACCAGGAUUGGUUCCCGAUAUGGUUAAUUUACUUCCAUUAAUUUUGAGUUGUGUUGUUCAUCGUGUUCAUGUGAUUUGUUGUUGAAGAUUGUUGAGAAAUUGGUCAUCUUGGCUAUAUUUUGGUUAAGUUAUGAUUAAUUGAUUGUUUAGAACUGAUGGGGGUAGUUUGGUAAAUUGCAUUACAUUCAGGGGUAAAAUGGUAAUUGCAAUAAGGUCGGAGGGGUAGUUUGGUAAUUGAACAUUAUUUUAAUUCUUUAUGUUAAGCAUGAGAGACAAAAUAUAAUGGGGUGGUGUUUGAUAUAAUUGUUUAACAUAAUGGGGGACAGAACAUAAUGUAGUGGAGGGGAAUAUUGCAUUUGUUUAUGUUAGGCAUGGGGGACAAAUUGUAAUGGGUUGGGGAUGAUGUAUUUAUUUAAUGUAGGCAUGGGGGACAAAUUGUAAUGGGUUGGGGUGGAUGUAUUUAUUUAAUGUAGGCAUGUGGGACAAAAUUUAAAAUAAAUAAAACAUUAAGUAGUGGGGACAAAGCAUGCAUUGGGGGAAUAUUUUGGGUUAGGGAUUCAAGACUUGUCUUGCUAUAUAUAUAGGGUCAUUUGACACAUUUUAGAGGACUUGAAUGAGAGAGGUUGAACAUUAUUGAGGUUAGAGAUUAUUAUUGAGAGACUUUUACACUUGAGAGCUUACAGAUUUUUUUUACAUUUGAGAGCUUUAAGACUUGAAACAUUUUGAGAGUAAAAGAGAAAGACAACUUGAACUUCUACUUGAAUAAUUUCCGUUUGCUUUUCUCGAGUGUUAUUCAAAAAUCAUUAAACCACUGCAUCUUGUGUCCGUCGCUCUUCUGCUUUGACUGUGAUUGCACUUUGGUAUUGUUGGGUUUUCAAUCUGUUACUGGGUAUUCUACUGGUUGUUACUGGUUUGCGGUGUUGCUGAACCUGCUGUUGCUGCGUUAUUAUUGCUGCUGACUUCUCCUUCUUUCGUUCUUGUACUGCCAUUUCCAGGUACACAUUUGUACACUCUCGGCUUGAAGCGAAAUGAAAUAUUAAUCAGGCUCUUGUUUCCUGUUGAAUUCCUUUUGUUUAGAUUUGUGUUUGAAUAAAAUUUUCCUUUCUUUGUAUAAAAAUAUAGUUGACUGAUUAAUGAGUAAUGGGGUUGCAUAUGUAUAACUUCUUC
rnacentral:lncRNA from 1 species